rnacentral:rRNA from 1 species
UACGUAGGGUGCAAGCGUUGUCCGGAAUUAUUGGGCGUAAAGAGCUUGUAGGCGGUUUGUCGCGUCUGCUGUGAAAUUUCGGGGCUCAACCCCGAACUUGCAGUGGGUACGGGCAGACUAGAGUGUGGUAGGGGAGACUGGAAUUCCUGGUGUAGCGGUGAAAUGCGCAGAUAUCAAGAGGAACACCGAUGGCGAAGGCAGGUCUCUGGGCCACUACUGACGCUGAGAAGCGAAAGCAUGGGGAGCGAACAGG